rnacentral:rRNA from 1 species
CACGUAGGCACCAAGCGUUGUCCGGAUUUAUUGGGCGUAAAGAGCUCGUAGGCGGUUCGGUAAGUCGGGUGUGAAAUCCCACGGCUCAACCGUGGAAGUGCACUCGAAACUACAGGGCUAGAGUCCUGGAGAGGAAGGUGGAAUGCUUGGUGUAGAGGUGAAAUUCGUAGAUAUCAAGCGGAACACCGGUGGCGAAGGCGGCCUUCUGGACAGUGACUGACGCUGAGACGCGAAAGCGUGGGGAGCAAACAGG